rnacentral:tRNA from 1 species
GCAAGUGUGGUGGAAAUGGUAGACACGGCUAUGAGAGACUAGCCGGAGGCUAAAUAAGACAUAAAUAAGCCCGCUAUAGGUUCGAAUCCUAUCGCUUGCA